GAAGAAAUCAGGAAACACGACCUGGCAAGGAUGGGAUUUAGCCUUAGGAAACUCAAAGCAACACAAUACACACAGGGGAACAGGGCAAGCAAACUCCUAGCCAGACGACUAACACAACAAAGCGUAAAGGCAAAAAUCACAUAUCUGCUGAACUUACAUGGGGAAAAAAAAGUGACACCAAAAGAAAUCAGCGACAUCUUUGCCGACUACUACACGACACUGUACAAUCUAGAGCAAGACCCAAAUACAAC